rnacentral:rRNA from 1 species
GACGAACCGUGCGAACGUUGUUCGGAAUCACUGGGCUUAAAGGGCGCGUAGGCGGGCGGUCAAGUCCGGGGUGAAAUCUUUCGGCUCAACCGGAAAAGGGCCUUUGAUACUGGUCGCCUCGAGGGAGGUAGGGGCAUGCGGAACUUCCGGUGGAGCGGUGAAAUGCGUAGAUAUCGGAAGGAACGCCGGUGGCGAAAGCGGCGUGCUGGACCUCUUCUGACGCUGAGGCGCGAAAGCCAGGGGAGCGAACGGG